rnacentral:rRNA from 1 species
GAUGAACGCUGGCGGCGUGCCUAAUACAUGCAAGUCGAGCGAACGGACGAGCAGCUUGCUUCUCUUGUUUUAGCGGCGGACGGGUGAGUAACACGUGGAUAACCUACCUUUAAGACUGGGAUAACUUCGGGAAACUGGGGCUAAUACCGGAUGAUAUUUUGAACUGGAUGGUUCAAGUGUGAAAGAUGUUCUUGUUGUCCAUUAUAGGCUCAUCCGCGCUGCAUUUGUUAGUUGGUAAGGUAACGACUUACCAAUGCAACGAUGCAUAGCCGGCCUGAGAGAGUGAGCGGCCGCACAGGAACUGAGACACGGUCCAGACACCUACGGGAGGCAGCAGUAGGGAAUGUUCAGCAAAGGGCGAAAGCAUGACGGAGCAAGGGAGCGUGAGUGAUGAAGGUCUUCGGAUCGUAAAAAUCUGUUAUUAGGGAAGAACGUAUGUGUAAGUAACUGUGCACAUCUUGACGUUACCUAAUCAGAAAGCCACGGCUAACUACGUG